CAAAGGCUUGGUCCUGACUUUGUGAUCAACUUUAGCUAAAUUUACACAUGCAAGCCUCCACCCCCCUGUGAAAAUGCCCACAGUUCCCUGCUUGGGAACAAGGAGCUGGUAUCAGGCACAUAUUAAUAAGUAUAGCCCACGACACCUUGCUUAGCCACACCCCCACGGAAUUUCAGCAGUGAUAAACAUUGAGCCAUGAGCGAAAGCUCGACUCAGUUAUAGCUAAAAGGGCCGGUAAAUCUCGUGCCAGCCACCGCGGUUACACGAGAGACCCAAGUUGAUUUCCCCCGGCGUAAAGCGUGGUUAUGAUUAAUAACUUACUAAAGUCGAAUAUUUCCAAAACUGUGAUAAGUAAUUGGAGAUAAGAAGCUCAACUACGAAAGUGACUUUACAACCCUGAAGCCACGAAAGCUAAGACACAAACUGGGAUUAGAUACCCCACUAUCCUUAGCCAUAAACAACGAUAGCGCCCCACUACCUUCGCUAUCCGCCCGGGAACUACGAGCGUCAGCUUAAAACCCAAAGGACUUGGCGGUGCUUUAGACCCCCCUAGAGGAGCCUGUCCUAGAACCGAUACCCCCCGUUCAACCUCACCUUUCCUUGCCCUUCCGCCUAUAUACCGCCGUCGUCAGCCCACCCUGUGAAGGAAAAAUAGUAAGCUCAAUUGACAUUGCCCAAAACGUCAGGUCGAGGUGUAGCAUAUGGAAAGAGAAAGAGAUGGGCUACAUUCUCUCUACCCCAGAGAACACGGACGAUUACAAUUGAAACACGUAUCUGAAGGAGGAUUUAGCAGUAAGCAGAAAACAGAGUGUUCAGCUGAAACUGGCCCUGAAGCGCGCACACACCGCCCGUCACUCUCCCCAAGCGACCUAACACAACAAACAUAUACAGCCUUCUUUAGCAAAGGGGAGAUAAGUCGUAACAUGGUAAGUGUACCGGAAGGUGCACUUGGAAUAU
rnacentral:ncRNA from 1 species